CCUACGGGAGGCAGCAGUAGGGAAUCUUCCGCAAUGGACGAAAGUCUGACGGAGCAACGCCGCGUGAGUGAUGAAGGCUUUCGGGUCGUAAAACUCUGUUGUUAGGGAAGAACAAGUACAAGAGUAACUGCCUGUACCUUGACGGUACCUAACCAGAAAGCCACGGCUAACUACGUGCCAGCAGCCGCGGUAA
rnacentral:rRNA from 1 species